rfam:Aedes aegypti strain Liverpool supercont1.3 genomic scaffold, whole genome shotgun sequence.
CCAUCGGCCCUUGUCAGGGCCAUCAAAUUCGAGGAAAAUAGUUGAA